rnacentral:lncRNA from 1 species
CCACUUGCUUUCUGAAUUUGCUUUCAGCCUAUAUAGGAAAGAUUUUCUCCCUCUGUCUUUACCAGAACGCUGUGGGAAUCUAAGUUGCUCCUAUCUUACCCCUGUACCUGAGCUGCUUUAGAAACCAGCACACCAAAUAUGAUGGAAGUAUAUAGGUCAGCCACAGAGACCCAACAUUGAUUUCCAGAAGUUAAACACACAGGAUUCUUCUGACUUGAGAUAUGUUUUGUGCAGUUCUCCCACACUGUAAGGUCUGGAAAACAUCAAGAAAUCUAAUUAUUUUCAGAGGAUGCUGAUCAGGAGAAGAAAAGAAGAGGAAAAAAAAAGCUUCCUGCAAUAAUUGAAACUGGCAUCAACUUUUAUAUAACUUCCAAAUAGUAGUGAUUGGAUCAAUAAAUGCCCACUGAACUCAAUAAAAGUUACAAAAUCUGUCUACACUUACCCCAUGA